rnacentral:rRNA from 1 species
CUACGGGGGGCUCCAGUGAGGAAUAUUGCACAAUGGGGGGAACCCUGAUGCAGCAACGCCGCGUGGAGGAUGACGCAUUUCGGCGUGUAAACUCCUUUUAUAUGUCAAGAAAAUGACGGUAGCAUAUGAAUAAGCACCGGCUAACUCCGUGCCAGCAGCCGCGGUAAUACGGAGGGUGCAAGCGUUACUCGGAAUCACUGGGCGUAAAGGACGCGUAGGAGGGUUGGAAAGUCAGGUGUGAAAUCCUACAGCUUAACUGUAGAACUGCACUUGAAACUUCUAAUCUAGAGUAUGGGAGGGGGAGAUGGAAUUAGUGGUGUAGGGGUAAAAUCCGUAGAUAUCACUAGGAAUACCUAAAGCGAAGGCGAUCUCCUGGAACAUUACUGACGCUAAGGCGUGAAAGCGUGGGGAGCAAACAGGAUUAGAUACCCUAGUAGUC